rnacentral:rRNA from 1 species
UCCUAACAUGAAGUUAGGUCAGCAAACCCGCUGAAUUUAAGCAUAUAAGUAAGCGGUGGACAAGAAACUAAAAAGGAUUCCCCUAGUAAUGGCGAAUGAACAGGGAUGAGCUCAGCAUUGAAAUCUGGGCCCUGGCCCUGAAUUGUAAUCUCGAGAAGUGCAACCAACAGCGGCGCAGGCGUAAGCCUCUUGGAAAAGAGCACCAGUGAGGGUGAGAGUCCCGUGUGUCACCUGCAGUCCUCUGUGUACGGUGUGCUUUCGAAGAGUCACGUUCCUCGGGCUUGGAGCGCCAAAGGUGGUAAAUUUCAUCUAAAGCUAAAUAUAGGUUUGAGACCGAUAGCAAACAAGUACCAUGAGGGAAAGAUGAAAAGGACUUUGGAAAGAGAGUUAAAAGUGCCUGAAAUCGCUGAAAGGGAAGCGAAUGGGACCAGUGUUUCUUGUGGAGCUUGCUGGGCGUAAUCUGGAUGGAGUUCUGGUGCAGCGCAAGCGUACCUGAGCUUUUUGAAAGUGCGUGCUUGGUGCUGCUCUGCUUGUGUGUCAACGUCGGUUUGGAGAUGUGGAAAACCCGUGGAAAAUGGAUGCCUUCUUACGGGGGGGUGAAUGUUCCUCGUGGAAUUCAUUUCCGAACUGAAAGUCUUGUGUUAAUGUGCACCACCUCAUUCUUUGCUUGCAGCCCUGGGUAAUUCAGCAGGUGCUCUGCUGGCUGUGGGUGUGUUCAUGACACAUCAAUGCUGACAAAAUGGUCUCACUCGACCCGUCUUGAAACACGGACCAAGGAGUCUAA